ACUGAAGGAAGCAGCGUGUCUUUAUCCCUGUCUGAAAAGACUGGGUAACCCGUGGAACUUCUUUCGUGAUUGGGGUAGGGGCUUGCAAUUGUUCCCCUUGAAC
rnacentral:rRNA from 1 species